rnacentral:lncRNA from 1 species
UGUUGAUGACUUGCAGUCAAUUAACUAUGUGUGCUGCUUCGUGCAACAGGAGAAAGCCAGAAGAGCAGCCUCGGGAAAGACAGACGGAAGUCCGGCAACCCAGCUGUAGGCGCUUACACUGAAAUCUAAGUCUGUAUAGUGAACGCCAGCGGCGGCCGACUUCUAUCCCAAGCACUGCGCAAAAGCAGAGGAACGGAAAGGGAAAGGGCCAGGUCAUCCUCAGCCACAUAGUGAGUCCAAGGUCGGCCUGGACUGCACGAGAGUCUGUCUAGGAAUGCAGUUAGUAAAAGCCUGGCGUCUACUGCAGAGUAUGUAUACUUGGUGGUAGAGGGCUUGCUUGAAGACCCAAGUUCCAUCCCUAGCACCACAGAGCAGGGAGGGGACACAGAUUUAGGAGAGAUUUGUCUUUUUCUCCUUUGGCUGUGUGUUGUCCAGGGAUAUAUAUUUCCUAAAAUCUUUUUAAAGUGAAUUUAUAUGUGCACAUAUGUGUGUGUAGGGGGAGGAUAAGAACUGAAUUAUUUGAAACAGGUUAUUAUUUGAAACUGUAUUACUCUACUCAGUAUUUUGGCCAGGUCCCAGUCCCGGGUUGCAGGUGUUGACUGCCACCAAGGUUUGAUACGGGAUCCAAAUUCAGGCCCCCAUCUCGUCCAUCGAGCACUUUGUGAACUUGAACCCACGCCCCCCCCCCCCCAAUCCCCUAGAAUCUUUUUCUGAUUUUUAACUCCAGGAGAGAUAGCAUUUUCCUUACAUUAUAAAAUAAAAGCAGUGAAGUAAAUUGACAGCUAAGGAUCUCUAUUUCAUCUCUUGAACGAUGAAAAUAGUGACGUAUAUAUAGUACUUCUAUAAAUAACAGUUUUUAAGAAAUAGGUAAGUGGGGCAGGUUUGGUGGCUUCUGCCUGUAAUCACUGCAUUCAGAGGGGGCCAAGGCCUGUUUCAAAAACAACAACCAAGACAAGCAAAACCAGGUGUUGCUUUGCUAUGUUCCUGUACACUGUGGGAGAGGUAAUAGCAUCUGUGGGACACAGCAGAAUUGUACAAGUGUACAAUUAGUGUGUAGCAGAGCACAGCAGUUACGAGCUUGUAUAACGAGGACUCUGGAUCCAGAUUUAAGUAGAUUCAAACACCACUUAACACCAGUAACCGAUUUUAGGACCUUGAGCAAGUUAAAUAACUUCUUCCUGCCUUGGUUUCCCCGUCAGAAAUGGGGAACAGUGGUAGCUACCUCAUAACUUGUAAAGAAUCCAAUGAAUUAAAACACAGGUCUCAGUAUUAGCUUGUAUUACUGUACUAUCGAGUCCAUACACGGCUCUCUAAAGCCCUACAGAGGGUUCAUGUGUUUAGACCUGAGAAAUCAGGACAUGGAAAUCAGAGCAUAUACAUAAGGAACUUAAUUUUAAUGUAAUCAUGUCUAAUGAUCCUCAUCUUCAUUCCUUGAGAUUACCCAAGUACCGUCAUGACCAAGAAGCCUUUCCGUCAUUGAGUACCUGAUUUUUAAAAGCAAGCACCCAAAUAAUUCUCUCUAGGGAAUCUCAUUUGUUACAGGUGAGAAGACAGAGGGUUUUAUGGUGCCUGAGUUAGUCCUGUGCCUAACCAGUGGAGUUUCCGUCUCUGUGCUUGCUAAUAGUUUCACAAGUGGCUUGACUUUUUUAGAAGUAUUAUGUGGUAUUUUACUGUGUAUCACUUCUGUGGUAAACAUGUGAAGUCCUUUGGCUUAGUCAUACUUCAUAACUUUUGAACGUUGGGUUUUUUGUUGGAAGAAACUUGGAUGAAUCUGUCAUGUCAUUAACAGAACUGAAAUAUUCUAUUGUAAGACGUGCAUUUGCGGUUAGAAUGGUCUUGUUGCCUAAACUGUCUAAAAUUCUAAUAAAAUAACUUUCU